rnacentral:rRNA from 1 species
GACGAACGCUGGCGGCGUGCUUAACACAUGCAAGUCGAACGAUGAAGCGGGUGCUUGCACUCGUGGAUUAGUGGCGAACGGGCGAGUAACACGUGAGUAACCUGUCCUUUUCUUUGGGAUAACGGCUGGAAACGGCUGCUAAUACUGGAUAUUCAGGCUGCAUCGCAUGGUGUGGUUUGGAAAGGUUUUUUCUGGGAUUGGGUGGGCUCGCGGCCUAUCAGCUUGUUGGUGGGGUGAUGGCUUACCAAGGCUUUGACGGGUAGCCGGCCUGAGAGGGUGGUCGGUCGCACUGGGACUGAGAUACGGCCCAGACUCCUGCGGGAGGCAGCAGUGGGGAAUAUUGCACAAUGGACGAAAGUUUGAUGCAGCGACGCCGCGUGGAGGGUGUAGGCCUUCGGGUUGUGAACUCCUUUUUCUCGCGAAAAAGGCACAGUUUUGGCUGUGUUGAUGGUAGUGGGGGAAGAAGCGCCGGCUAACUACGUG